rnacentral:misc_RNA from 1 species
UCAUGAUUUAUUGAGUAGCAGACUAUCGCGAUCAGAGCUGACUAGGCGAGUGGAUGAUGUCACAGAAACAGCGUUUCAGAAGACUUACCAGUAGGGCUGUAAGUUCAAGAUUCUCGUGUGUCUACCUGUCUCUCGUUAUUGUACCAUGGCUACAGCUGCCCCGCCGUCUCUCAGCGACUACCCUCCCCUACCCACGGGACCCACCUCCCACCCGCAGCAUCGCCAUACCUCAGGUCAUGCCACCCCGUCUGCGACACACCCGCCCACGCCGACCCAAGCAUUAACGAAUGAGGCCUCAAGCCUCCAGCCUACCAUCCCAGGGGACGAGCACCGACCACCAUCACCCAGCCACGACAGCCAGCACCAGGGAGAUGAGUGAGCCUAUACAAUGCCCAUCACUGACUCUACCUCCACCAACUACCAAAACAGCGGCCACAGUUACCCAGAGCAGCUUACAGGACGAAGUCGAGACACUGUGUCAGGAAGUAAAAACACUAAAACUGAAUCAAGAUAUAUUGCAAAAGGCAAACCAAGAUCUGCAAACCAUGGUCACAGCCCUUCACAUAACAUUGAAAGAAGAAAUGAGCAGCACGAAAGUGCUACUCAUGGAACUGGCCAGCCAAACCAAAAUAACAUCUCAGGCUACGGCAGCUUCCGGACCCAGCACACAUAUAGAUGUUGACGAUACACCACAACAAACGAAGAUUCCAGCACAACAUACAAACAAACCACUGCCGAGAGGAGAAGUGUUAAAUGCGACAGAUCAGGCCAUGCUCAGGAAGGACAACACCAACGACGACCUGAUCAACCACGCACACCUGCCACCCGCAUUACCCAGCUCGCCGCCGCUCCACUCAACCAGCCCGCCACAACUACUUCCUCAGCAGCCACCGCACCUGUUCGCCAACACGAAGCAGGUGCUGCCUCCACAACACAGUACAACAAGCAAGGAUCUGGCCAACAACAAACACCUGCCACCUGCGUCGCUCAGCUCGCUGCUGCCCCUCUCAAUCAGCCCGCCGCAACAACCUCCUCAGCAGCCGCCGCACCCGUCAGCCAACAUAACGCAGCAGCCUUGCACUUUCUGAACAUUCUAACAAAAACACUAAGUGCCCAUCCAAAAUUUUGUGAUAUUGAUAAAUAAACAGAAAUGCACUAAAACCUAGUCAUUUCCAUUUCCAUGUAUGUAAAUAUAGAAACCACAAAAACAAUGUAUAUAUGAUUUCUUUCGCAAUCUUAAACUGAUGAGACUGGCCAAGUGCAAAAACAGUGGCUUUCACAAGUAUUGUACCAUAUUACAUCUUGUGAAUAAAAGUUAAGAAUCAGGGGCCGUAUGCAUCAAACUUCUUAGUAUCAAAAAAGUUCCUAAGUCCUUGUGAAAAUUCCUAUCUCCUUGUGAAUUUUCAUAACAAAAUAGGAAGUAUUCAUCAACAGUCCUAACCGUUAUGAAAAUUAUUAUCUCGGCGUUGAGUUGUCAAUGGGCAGAGGGUGUCCUAAGUAGAUCUGAAAAACCGCAAGAGGAAGAAUGGCCCACCAACAACAAUAUGAAGCUCCCCACCUGAGGACUUUCCACCCAAGAAUGGACCCCUUCCAUGUUUAAGAUGAUGCUAAAUUUGUGAGAAGUUACAGGUUAGAUCGUGCUGGACUUUGAUAUGUGACAGACUUGGUACGAGAGGAGAUUAGAAACACUUCAGAAAGAAGCAUGCCUCCAGAGAUGAAAGGGGCAAUAACACUCCAGUAUUUAGCCACUGGGAAAAUGCAGCAGUGCAGUGCAGUGCUGAUAACUUUGGUUUGUCACAGUCAACCAUAAGUAGAGCCAUCACACCAACCCUCAGUACUUUAGUGACUCCUGCCAACAUAAGAAGAUUCCUGAGAUUCCCAAGGGCAGCAGCAGAGGAAUUGCAGAGGAAGAAAGUGGAGAUUUCCAGGUGUUGUGGAGGUUAUAGACUGUACCCAUGUGAGGAUAGUUGCUACACAGUAAAUGAGGUGGUGUUUGUGAACAGGAAUAAUUUUCACAGCAUCAAUGUGCAAGUGGUUUUUUAUGCAAAUUACAAACAUUUUUAUAUGGUUGUAAAGCGGCCAGGAUCAACCCAUGACUCCCGGAUCUUAAAUCACAGUGGCUUGUGUCAUUUAUUUGAAGACCAUACAAUACCAGCUGGGUGUUAUUUACUGGGAGACAGUGGAUACACCUCCAAACGGUGGCUGCUGAUUCCAUACAGUGACAGAGAAUGCCAGCAUGAUUAUCAAGAAGCAUACAACAGAGAACACAAGCAAACAUGAUGCAUUGUGGAGCGUGGCAUUGGACAACUCAAGCGAAGGUUCCAUGUUCUCCACGGAGAAGUUCGCUUGAACCAAUCAAUGACCUGCCAAGUGAUCACUGCAUGUGGAAUUCCUCGUAACAUAUAACUGAACUGGUGUACCUACUGCAAGACCUGAAGAUUCUGACUGUUCCUGACCAGCUAAGGAUUGGGGAGGACACAGGCUUCUGGAGAGUAGUUUAGGUUCAACAUGAGCUGUGUGUCCAGGGGUGACCAUGAGGCAGCUGGGGCUUACUUGAGAACUACAUGGACAUCAGGGAAAGGGGAGAAUGAAGCCCUUUACCAGCAGUUCCUGACUUAACGAAUAUUUGAAGGUGAUGUGUGCCCCUCACCUGUCCCUGUUACACCUGUACAACAAGGAGGAGUGUGUGGAGACUGGCGACACUGCUUAUGUUUCCUCCCUCAAGGCCUCCACCAACACUGAGGACUCCAGGAUGCAGCUUGGCCUGACACUGCUCAAUUUAAAACGCAGCACAGAUAAGGAGGAGGUGCUUAGUAAGAGGAGAGAGAGAUGGUGUGGUGGUAGUGCCUUGUAUUGAUGGUAAUGUGAAGAGCAAGUGGAAGAAACCUUAGGAGACUUCUGUAACAUGAACCAGAGCCAUACCUCACCAGAGCUUUGCAAGCCAUUCCAGUGGCUGCAGGAACCAACACUCAGAGGUUUCCCAGGACACAUCCUGUCUGCAAUCAAAGCAGGUGGUGCCUUGCUUCAUAUGAAGGCAGGGUCGCACAUAAGGAAGCAGCAAAUGAAGGGUGUGUACAGCCAGUGUUGGGUGUCCUCCCUGCCUGGUGGUGUGAAACAUGUAGCUUAUGAUUGGUUUUAGCAAUGUGGUUGUAUGUAAAAUGGAUGUUAACAAUUUAUGCUGUUAAGGGGAAAAAGAAAGCCAGGAUUGUCCUUUGAAAUAAUAUUAGUAACAAUUCAUGCCUUGAAAAAGGGAGGAGGGGAAGCCAAGAUUGUCUUCAGCGACUGGGGUCAGGUCAGGGUUGUCCCAAGAAAAAUAAGUGAAAGAUGAAACAAGCACAUGAAUUCCCCCCUGUAUGUGCACCAAGAUACAUGUGUAUACAGGGGGAUAUAUGCAAGUUUCACUUUAAACUUAGGAUUGUCAAGUUGGUGAAUAAAUAAAAAGGGGAGACUGUGCCAGAUAGGAUAGGUCAUAUGGCACUAUGGUGAAGAGGAGGAAGAAAAGAUAAAACUUAGAAAGUGUGGUUCAUGGGAAGUUGAGAAGAAUGGUUACUUCUCGAGAUGAACAAAAAUGCACUGGAGGUAGGAUAUGAAGUUAUCAAGGAGAAAUAAGAUUCUGUAAGAAUGUCUUGAGUGGCAGGGCAUUCAGGAAGCAGCAGGGAGGUAAGAGAAGGCAGCAUAAUGGAUGUUUGUUAAGUGCAGACGUGAAAGGAGAACAUUGCGUGCCAAAAGUUGAGCUUGACAAUGAGGGCAGAGAUCGGGAGGAGAGGGAGACAUGAGAUAGCAGUGUGCAAGACAGGUAUGACAAAUCCUUAAUUGGGUGAGGGGGGUUUCCCAGGGAUGAACUAUGUGAUGAAGAUUGAACCAUGGGAGGACUUAGGAUUUGACAAUGUGGAGUUUAUUUUGUAAGUUUGGAACAAAACAAUUGCCAUUGGUGGGGAUGGCCAUGAUACCAUGCCAGUUAAUGUACAUACUAUACCUUGUUUACUUAACCUAUAUUCCUGGCACUGAGGCGGGUUUAAAAGCUGGGCGCUGAUUGGGUG